CACGUGCAGACACACAUGCAGACGCAAACACACAAGACUUACGCCAUGCCUGGUGCCAUGUAUUUCACUGGCCCUGAAGUGUCUCCGGGGGCCCUCGGAGGUUCUGGGGCCGGUCCUUACAGCAGAGAGGUCUGAAACGCUGACAUGCAGGCCGGGGUCCGCUGGGAACACCGGCCUCGGCUCCUGUUACCGCCGGAGGGUCAGAGGUCAAAUGGAGGAGCCUACCUGAUGAACUGAAGAGAUCAAAACACAAAGCAAGUGUGAUGUUGGACAUUUCACAACCUAGUAACCCAAAGAUGUUUCUCAACAAUGGCUUAUAACUUAUCUAGAAAGCAUCAGUAAAUGAUUUUUUAUCCUUAAGGCAUCAGUGGUACCUGGUAACCUAAUAGACAUGAUACGUCUGUUUCAGUAAUCUGAUUUGAAAUCUGUGGUUCUGCAUCUUCAGAAACAUAACAAAUAUAUGAUAUAUAAAGUAAAAUAUGUAAUUUAUCAUUAAAUACAGGUUGCAUGCAGGUUCUAAAGCUUUAAGAAUGUUAUUUUGUGAUUUCAGUUCAUGUUCAUGCAGUUUUCUUAUUAUGACAUUAUCCAUUCUGACCUUAAGCUGUGAUAGAUACACAUAAUUUUGUGAAAACAUAGAUGGAGAGCAAUUUUGCCAUUAAAGACAGAAAAACAGACACCAAUUUUGACACAGCUUUUUUCCCCCCCUCUCUCUCCUUCUACCUCCAUUCCCAGCAUUAGUUCCUGUUGUCAGCCCUUAUUACUUGCUGCAGAAAACACAUUUCCACAGGCGCAGAAUAUGUCAUCGGUGUACCAUUAUGGUCUUUAGAGGUGAGGCGGCAGGCAGGGGCAGAAAAUAAACAGUAGUAAACAACAGUAGCAGUGGGGAGUGGGCUUCCCUGCUGUGUUGAUUAUUGGAGGACUGUAAACAGGCCUGAUCCCCCCCUCCCGGGAGCUCACCGAGCGGGAACGGCUGCUGCUGGCUGCCCACAGAGAGGCCAACAACAUCUGGACCUCAGCUCAGCUCGGCUCACCUCAUCACGCUCCUGUUGUUUGUGGCGGAGUGGUGUGUUUGUGCAUCUGCGCUGGGAGAAAAAAAACAAAAAAAAAAACAGAUAGCAGCAACAAGCAAUCGGUAGUAAUUUUGAAAAGAAUGCAGUAAUUUGGGGUAAAAAUGUGAACCUGGACGUAUUAGAGAAGCAUGAGGAAAUAGUCUGCUUUUGUGUUGAGAGUUAAUAUGUGUAAAUAUGUGUGUGUGUGUAAUCAAAUUCUGAAAUUUUGGCACACCGAGUGCAGUUUCAUUGUAGAUUUUCACACACCUGAAUACGCUUGAGUGAAAUCAGCAGUGGAACAUAUUGCCUGGUUAUGAUUUUUAAUAAAAAAAAGCCCAGCCACAUGCCUUAAAUUAUAGUCAACAUUUGCAUUUCUCUGAAUGACAUGAUGUUUGUAGUUAUUCCUGAGCCAAACCUGUGCAAAUUCAGCGUGGAGGCUGUUGCCAGAGUUUGCAAAUCAGUUAUUUACUCAAGCAAGUGGAUUUGCUCGAAGGCAUUUUGGCAAAAAUAGACUCAAGUAUAUUCAUUAAUUAUGUAUUUCUUGAACUGAAGGACAAUGAGAUUCUGUCUGAAAUGGCAGCGAGCCAGUUGGACACAUGUUUUCUAAUGGCUGCUGGUGAAGGGACAGUGUGUUUGUGUUGUUUAUUAACUGUCUUGUAGCUCCCUCUGCUGGUAGAAUGUGGCCGUAGUGAAAUAUGCAAAAACUACAGGAAGUAGUUGGUAAAACACAGUUGGAAACUGACCAAACAUAACUAUACAUAUCAUUUAUGCUUGUAAAACUGAAACUAAAUAAACAUAGAAUAUAGAGCAUGUGGAAACUGAAUGAAACUUUCAGUGUUUAACUAUUAGAAAAAGAAAUAUUACAUCUUAAGUAGAAUAUUCUGACGUACUGAUAACACAAAAAAUACCCCACUGUGUACUUGAAAUACUUGUUCUGAACAUGUCCUUAUCUUUGAAGAAUACUAUGACAGCUGAUGCAAAAACAUAUUCUAAACUAACAACAUGUUUUAGUCUACUUCAGUUCAUCUGAACUUCAUUAACCUAAACUUUUUAAUUAUAUCAUGAUCACAUCCUCAGAGGUCAACGCUCAAGUUCAGUUAGUUACUUCAGACUAAUUUGAGGCGAUGCCGUUGCUCAUUGUUCUUUCUCAAGGUGAUUAUCAGUUGCAAACUCAAUACACUUCUAUCUACAUUCAUUUAAAACACAUACACGAAUUCCCCCAGAGUGCUCACAGACAGACAGUGCCUACCAGCAUCCUAAUAGAUUAGUGUUGUUCAUCUUUGUCAUUUACUUCAAUCUAAACCACUUACUCAAGGUUUUUUUUUUUCCAGCUCACCAAGCCAGAGGGAAAUAUGUAGUUUACCAGCAAAGGCAUGUCUUUGCACUAUAAUUAAGACCUAAUAAGAUCAAGAACAAUCACAAAGUGUAUUUU